AGGGCUGUUUUGAUGAAUGUGAUUAUUAAAUAAGUUAAAUUUACUAUUUUAGAUCAAGAAGUAUGAAACUCGAGGUUAGACAAAGGGAAGAAUAAAGUUGAAGACUAAGUUGGUGAAUUUGGCUAUAAUUGGUACCGAGUAUUGCAAAGCUACUUCAAGGAUCCUAAAGAAGUCGGAGAUCGUCCACACUAUCAACUACAACUGCUCGGUAUUUUAUAUCGAAACACGUUUGAGUUAUGGCAUGUAUAGGGAUUUAGUUAUUUUGUAUGUUUGUAAUGAUGAUUUUGCUAAUGAGUGAUGUGUAAGUAUUUGAUGAUGUAUGGUCAUUAAAAUGGUUAAGGAUGAAGGUGUUUGUUGUUAUGAAA